UUACUAACGACGAUAUGCUUUGGGGAGCUGUAAGUAAGCUUUGAUCCAGAGAUUUCCGAAUGGGGAAACCCAACAUGAGUUAUGUCAUGUUAUCGAUAUGUGAAUACAUAGCAUAUCAGAAGGCACACCCGGAGAACUGAAACAUCUUAGUACCCGGAGGAAGAGAAAGAAAAUUCGAUUCCCUUAGUAGCGGCGAGCGAAACGGGAAGAGCCCAAACCAACAAGCUUGCUUGUUGGGGUUGUAGGACACUCUAUACGGAGUUACAAAGGACGACAUUAGACGAAUCAUCUGGAAAGAUGAAUCAAAGAAGGUAAUAAUCCUGUAGUCGA
rnacentral:rRNA from 1 species